rnacentral:rRNA from 1 species
UACGUAGGGUGCAAGCGUUGUCCGGAAUCAUUGGGCGUAAAGCGCGCGUAGGCGGCUUUUCAAGUCGAUUGUGAAAUCCCCGGGCUCAACCUGGGAACUGCAGUCGAGACUGUCUAGCUAGAGUAUGGGAGAGGGAAGUGGAAUUUCAGGUGUAGCGGUGAAAUGCGUAGAUAUCUGAAGGAACAUCAAUGGCGAAGGCAGAUCUCUGGGCCGUAACUGACGCUGAGGAGCGAAAGCAUGGGGAGCGAACAGG